rnacentral:rRNA from 1 species
AUGGCAAUGGAAGCAGCGGCUGCCGGCGCCGGCGGGCUGGAGGUGGUGGUGUUCCCGUGGCUGGCGUUCGGCCACAUGAUCCCGUUCCUGGAGCUCUCCAAGCGCCUCGCGGCCAGGGGCCACACCGUGUCCUUCGUGUCCACGCCGCGGAAUCUCGCCAGGCUCCCGGCCGUGCCGGCCGGUCUGUCCGCCCGCCUCCGGUUCGUGCCGCUGCAUCUUCCGGCCGUGGAUGGGCUGCUGGAGGGCGCCGAGGUCACGUCUGACCUGCCGCCCGACAAGGUCGGGCUCCUCAAGAAGGCCAUGGACGGCCUCGCCGGCCCACUCGCGGCGUUCCUCGCCGCCGGUAGGAGGCCCGACUGGAUCGUCCACGACUUCUGCCACCACUGGGUCCCGCCCAUCGCCGACCAGCUCAAGGCCGCCUUGUCGGUCUUCCUGGGGCCGCGGUGGGCAAACGCCGCACACCCGCGCAUGGAGCCGGAGCACUUCGCCGAGACACCCAGGUGGAUUCCCUUCCCGUCCACCACCUUCUUCCUCCGCCACGAGGCCCAGUGGAUCACCGACGCCUUCCGUACCAACGCAUCCGGCGUGUCCGACAUGGACCGCUGGUGGCAGGUCUUGGAGCGCAGCCGCCUCACCAUACACCGGAGCUUUUUUUUAGAACGGAUCAUACACCGGAGCUGCGAGGAAUUGGAGCCCCGGAUGUUCGGCCUCCUAUCCGAUCUCUUCCGGAAGCCUGCCGUCCCCGCCGGGAUCCUUCUACCGGGGGCACCCGGCGACCUUGAAGAAGACCACCGGCAGAGCAGCUCAGGCAGCAUCGUCCGUCCGCAGGUCCUGCGAUGGCUGGACGACCAGCCUCCCAACUCCGUCAUCUUCGUUGCGCUGGGAAGCGAGGCGCCAUUGACGCCAGAGAACGCCCAUGAACUCGCGCUCGGCCUAGAGCUCGCCGGCGUGCACUUCCUCUGGGCGCUACGCAAGCCGGCGGGCACCAGCAACGACGACGAGCUUCUGUUGCCAGCCGGGUUCGAGGAACGUACGCGGCACCGCGGGGUGGUUUGCACGGGGUGGGUGCCGCAGGUGGAGGCGCUGGCGCACUGCGCCACGGGCACGUUCUUGACGCACUGUGGCUGGGGCUCCACCAUCGAGAGCCUCUCCUCCGGGAUCCCGCUGGUGAUGCUGCCGUUCGUCGUCGACCAGCCCUUGAUCGCGCGGGCGAUGGUAGAGAGAGGGAUCGGCGUGGAGGUGGCGAGGGACGAGAACGACGGUUCGUUUGACCGGGACGGUGUCGCGGUGGCGGUGCGGCGAGUCAUGGUGGAGGAGCACGGGAAGGUGUUGGCGACCAACGCCAAGAAGCUGCAGGGGGUUCUGGUCGACCAGGGACGCCAGGAGCACUACAUCGACGAGGUCGAGGCCUGA